CCCCUAGAUGUUCUGGGCCGCACGCGCGCUACACUGAACAGUUCAACAAGUCUUAACCUUGGCCGAUAGGUCUGGGUAAUCUUUGAACGCUGUUCGUGAUUGGGAUAGACCUUUGCAAUUAUGGGUCUUCAACGAGGAAUUCCUAGUAAACGCAAGUCAUCAGCUUGCAUUGAUUACGUCCCUGCCCUUUGUACACACCGCCCGUCGCACCUACCGAUUGAAUGGUCCGGUGAAAUCUCGGGACGGCGGCUUGGUCGCUUGCGUCCGACUGCUGAAACUUGAUUAAACCAUAUCAUUUAGAGGAAGGUGAANACGUANCA
rnacentral:rRNA from 1 species